GCCCGCCUGUCACAGAGAACCAUCACGGGGCUGGAGCCAAGGGUGCAACUGGAUGUGGCAGAAACCUUGGACCACUGGACAAAACCCCGAGAGGGAUUGUCGGAAGAUCCUCUAACUAAUCCUAAGGAAAUCUGGUGCCUCGAUGGAAGCAGCUUUGUCUUGGAUGGAAAAAGAAGAGCUGGCAGUCAAGGUACCAGGACAUGACUCCUGGAUUCACUACUCAUGAACCAAGCCAUGGAAUAAAACAGAAGAGGACACUCAAUACACCUGUGAGUCCCUGGGAGAUCUCAGAUACCUAUUUAGAAGUACAAAUGACUGCCAUUCUAGUGAACACCCCCAAAAUCUGGUUUCUGGGGAUAAGAUUUCUCAGGAUAGCUCUAAAGAGCCAACACAGCUUGGCAGAGAUUGUACUCCAAAACAGACAGGAGAUAGAUCUUCUGAUCCCUGAACAAGGAGGGACUUGAGCCAUCCUGGCGAUGUGAAUUUGGAAUUGACUAAUGCCCCUACUAGUCCUUGUUAUGCCAUAUUGAUGCUGCUUAUGAUUGUU